rnacentral:rRNA from 1 species
AUAUUUGAAUCAUCGAGUCUUUGAACGCAAGUUGCGCCCGAGGCUUGUCCAAGGGCAUUUCCGCUAGAGCGUCACC